rnacentral:tRNA from 1 species
AUUAGGAUCUGCUACGUCAAGCAGUUGGGCUCAUGCCCCAAAAACGGAAGGAAAAACCUCCUAAUGA